CUGCAUAUGAUCGAUCGCGAAAGAAUUUGUCCAACCCAUCAAACCAUUAACUAAAC
rnacentral:tRNA from 1 species